AUAAUGUGACAAUGUAGAAGGCUGGUUUGAGAUCUGGUGAUGAUAAUGUUGUAUAAUGACACUAUAAUGUGACAAUGUAGAAGGCCGGUUUGAGAUCUGGUGAAGAUAAUGUUGUAUAAUAACAGGAUAAUGUGGUCAAUGUAGAAGGCUGGUUUGAGAUCUGGUGAAGAUAAUGCUGUAUAAUAACAGGAUAAUAUGGUCAAUGUAGAAGGCUGGUUUGAGAUCUGGUGAAGAUAAUGUUGUAUAAUGACACUAUAAUGUGACAAUGUAGAAGGCUGGUUUGAGAUCUGGUGAAGAUAAUGUUGUAUAAUAACAGGAUAAUAUGGUCAAUGUAGAAGGCUGGUUUGAGAUCUGGUGAAGAUAAUGUUGUAUAAUGACACUAUAAUGUGACAAUGUAGAAGGCUGGUUUGAGAUCUGGUGAAGAUAAUGUUGUAUAAUAACAGGAUAAUGUGGAACAUAAACUGAUGGAACAUUUUAAUACAAAAGACACACAACAAACUAGUUGUUCCAGCUGGAACAGUCCGAUCAUGUAUAAACUACAGUCAACAGACUCAUUAAAGAGAUUCUCUGCUACUUUUUGUGUACUUUUUAGCCAGUAGUGCUGAUAGUAACACUCACAAGUCAAAAGUGGUCCCUGAAAAUGUUGUACUACAUCACAUAUGUUCACCACGUCAUCUCUCUCUCUGCUGUGGCGCGCCCUGCAACCUCAUUGGAUAACCCUGGGCUGGCUUCUUGCAAGCUGUCACUCAAAUACGAGUGGCUGAAGCUCAUGAGAUAGAACUCUAAUUGCCAGGGAAAUGGAGGGGAAAUGGCGCGGCACAGUUUCAACAAAUUGUCGCUUUCCAACUUUUUGUGGAUUUUUGAGGUAAGACAGUGAUUAUGCAUGAAUUAACUACAUACUGAAACAUCCAGCCCAAAGUGUGAGGUUGAAAACCUCAAUUACAUAAUUACCUAUCUACUAACCGCACAUUGACUCUGUACCGGUAACCCCUGUAUAUAGCCUCCACAUUGACUCUGUACCGUAACACCCUGUAUAUAGCCUCCACAUUGACUCUGUACCAGUACCCCUGUAUAUAGCCUCCACAUUGACUCUGUACCGGUAACCCCUGUAUAUAGCCUCCACAUUGACUCUGUACCGUAAUACCCUGUAUAUAGCCUCCACAUUGACUCUGUACCGUAACACCCUGUAUAUAGCCUCCACAUUGACUCUGUACCGGUACCCCCUGUAUAUAGCCUCCACAUUGACUCUGUACCGUAAUACCCUGUAUAUAGCCUCCACAUUGACUCUGACCCGUAAUACCCUGUAUAUAGCCUCCACAUUGACUCUGUACCGUAACACCCUGUAUAUAGCCUCCACAUUGACUCUGUACCGGUACCCCCUGUAUAUAGCCUCCACAUUGACUCUGUACCGUAACCCCCUGUAUAUAGCCUCCACAUUGACUCUGUACCGUAAUACCCUGUGUAUAGCCUCCACAUUGACUCUGUACCGUAAUACCCUGUAUAUAGCCUCCACAUUGACUCUGUACCGGUACCCCCUGUAUAUAGCCUCCACAUUGACUCUGUACCGUAACACCCUGUAUAUAGCCUCCACAUUGACUCUGUACCGGUACCCCCCUGUGUAUAGCCUCCACAUUGACUCUGUACCGUAAUACCCUGUGUAUAGCCUCCACAUUGACUCUGUACCGUAAUACCCUGUAUAUAGCCUCCACAUUGUCUCUGUACCGUAAUACCCUGUAUAUUGCCCCACUAUUGUUAUUUACUGCUGAUCUUUAAUGUGUUAUUCUUAUCUCUUACUUUUGUGGUAUUUUCUGCAUUGUUGGUUAAGUGCUUGUAAGUUCUACACCUGUUGUAUUCAGCAUUUCACUGUAAGGUCUACUACACCUGUUGUAUUCAGCAUUUCACUGUGAGGUCUACUACACCUGUUGUAUUCAGCAUUUCACUGUAAGGUUAUACACCUGUUGUAUUCAGCAUUUCACUGUAAGGUUCUACACCUGUUGUAUUCAGCAUUUCACUGUGAGGUCUACUACACCUGUUGUAUUCAGCAUUUCACUGUGAGGUCUACUACACCUGUUGUAUUCAGCAUUUCACUGUGAGGUCUACUACACCUGUUGUAUUCAGCAUUUCACUGUGAGGUCUACUACACCUGUUGUAUUCAGCAUUUCACUGUCAGGUCUACUACACCUGUUGUAUUCAGCAUUUCACUGUAAGGUCUACUACACCUGUUGUAUUCAGCAUUUCACUGUAAGGUUCUACACCUGUUGUAUUCAUCAUUCCACUGUAAGGUCUACUACACCUGUUGUAUUCAGCAUUUCACUGUAAGGUCUACUACACCUGUUGUAUUCAGCAUUUCACUGUGAGGUCUACUACACCUGUUGUAUUCAGCAUUUCACUGUAAGGUCUACUACACCUGUUGUAUUCAGCAUUUCACUGUGAGGUCUACUACACCUGUUGUAUUCAGCAUUUCACUGUAAGGUCUACUACACCUGUUGUAUUCAGCAUUUCACUGUAAGGUCUACUACACCUGUUGUAUUCAGCAUUUCACUGUGAGGUCUACUACACCUGUUGUAUUCGGCAUUUCACUGUAAGGUCUACUACACCUGUUGUAUUCAGCAUUUCACUGUGAGGUCUACUACACCUGUUGUAUUCAUCAUUCCACUGUAAGGUCUACUACACCUGUUGUAUUCAGCAUUUCACUGUAAGGUCUACUACACCUGUUGUAUUCAGCAUUUCACUGUAAGGUCUACUACACCUGUUGUAUUCAGCAUUUCACGGUAAGGUCUACUACACCUGUUGUAUUCAGCAUUUCACUGUGAGGUCUACUACACCUGUUGUAUUCAGCAGUUCACUGUAAGGUCUACUACACCUGUUGUAUUCAGCAUUUCACUGUAAGGUCUACUACACCUGUUGUAUUUCAGCAUUUCACUGUGAUGUCUACUACACCUGUUGUAUUCAGCAUUUCACUGUAAGGUCUACUACACCUGUUGUAUUCAGCAUUUCACUGUGAGGUCUACUACACCUGUUGUAUUCAGCAUUUCACUGUAAGGUUCUACACCUGUUGUAUUCAGCAUUUCACUGUAAGGUCUACUACACCUGUUGUAUUCAGCAUUUCACUGUGAGGUCUACUACACCUGUUGUAUUCAGCAUUUCACUGUAAGGUUCUACACCUGUUGUAUUCAGCAUUUCACUGUAAGGUUCUACACCUGUUGUAUUCAGCAUUUCACUGUAAGGUCUUCUACACCUGUUGUAUUCAGCAUUUCACUGUAAGGUUCUACACCUGUUGUAUUCAGCAUUUCACUGUAAGGUCUACUACACCUGUUGUAUUCAGCAUUUCACUGUGAGGUCUACUACACCUGUUGUAUUCAGCAUUUCACUGUAAGGUCU
ensembl:lncRNA